GACGAACGCUGGCGGCGUGCUUAACACAUGCAAGUCGAACGGUGAAGCGCUUGCCUUUUUGGUGGGUGUGGAUGAGUGGCGAACGGGUGAGUAACACGUGAGUAACCUGCCCUCUUCUUCUGGAUAACCUCAUGAAAGUGGGGCUAAUACGGGGUAUUCCGGGUCUGUCGCAUGGCGGGUUUGGUAAAGAUUGCGCCUUUGGGUGUUUUCGGUGUGGGAUGGGCUCGCGGCCUAUCAGCUUGUUGGUGGGGUGAUGGCCUACCAAGGCGGUGGGGGGUAGGCGGCCUGAGAGGGUGGACGGCCACACUGGGACUGAGACACGGCCCAGACUCCUGCGGGAGGCAGCAGUGGGGAAUAUUGCACAAUGGGCGAAAGCCUGAUGCAGCGACGCCGCGUGAGGGAUGGAGGCCUUCGGGUUGUGAACCUCUUUCGCCAGUGAAGCAGGCCUGCCUCGUUUGUGGGUGGGUUGACGGUAGCUGGAUAAGAAGCGCCGGCUAACUACGUG
rnacentral:rRNA from 1 species